GGUGAUGAUUGUAUCUAUGAAUCAAUCAAAUGCCCAGAAGACACUGAUAAAGUCUAAUUCAUGGAUGCUUCGAUUGAACAUAACAACAUUUGAAAACAAAGGAAGCAACAUGAACCAGAUGAGAGCUCUGUUUACUCUGAUGUCAAGAUAGGAACUACUGUCAUGCUCAGAGUUUGUAUUGAAAUCAUCACACAGGAGGUCAUUAUGGGUCAGCAUGCAGUUCAAUUGAUGUCACCUUGGGUA